CACUUUCGCUUAGCCACUCAGASAUCAAUUUGCCCGAACAGCUAGUAACCAUCGAUUKACGGCGAUAGACUASCAGGGCUAUCUAAKCCUGUUCGCUACSUACGCUUUCGUCCAUCAGCGUCAGUUCAUUGUUAGUGAUCUGCCUUCGCAAUCGGUAUUCUGAGUAAUAUCUAUGCAUUUCACCGCUACACUACUCAUUCUAACCACUUCACAAUAACUCAAGAAAACCAGUAUCAAUGGCAAUUUUAUGGUUGAGCCACAAACUUUCACCACUGACUUAAUCUCCCGCCUACGGACCCUUUAAACCCAAUGAUUCCGGAUAACGCUUGGAUCCUCCGUAUUACCGCGGCUGCUGGCACGGAGUUAGCCGAUCCUUAUUCGUACAGUACCGUCAAUAGUGUACACGUACACUUUUUUCUUCCUGUAUAAAAGCAGUUUACAACCCAUAGGGCAGUCUUCCUGCACGCGGCAUGGCUGGAUCAGAAUUCCUUCCAUUGUCCAAUAUUCCUCACUGCUGCCUCCCGUAGG
rnacentral:rRNA from 1 species